rnacentral:rRNA from 1 species
CCUACGGGGGGCAGCAGUGGGGAAUUUUGGACAAUGGGCGCAAGCCUGAUCCAGCCAUGCCGCGUGCGGGAAGAAGGCCUUCGGGUUGUAAACCGCUUUUGUCAGGGAAGAAACGCCUUAGGAUAAUACCUUGAGGUAAUGACGGUACCUGAAGAAUAAGCACCGGCUAACUACGUGCCAGCAGCCGCGGUAAUACGUAGGGUGCAAGCGUUAAUCGGAAUUACUGGGCGUAAAGCGUGCGCAGGCGGUUGUACAAGACAGAUGUGAAAUCCCCGGGCUUAACCUGGGAACUGCAUUUGUGACUGUACGGCUAGAGUGCGGCAGAGGGGGAUGGAAUUCCGCGUGUAGCAGUGAAAUGCGUAGAUAUGCGGAGGAACACCGAUGGCGAAGGCAAUCCCCUGGGCCUGCACUGACGCUCAUGCACGAAAGCGUGGGGAGCAAACAGGAUUAGAUACCCCGGUAGUC